GUUCAAACGAGGAAAGGCUUACGGUAGAUACCUAGGCACCCAGAGACGAGAAAAGGCGUAGUAAUCGACGAAAUACUUUGGGGAGUUGAAAAUAAGCAUAGAUCCGGAGAUUCCAGAAUAGGGCAACCUUUUGAACUGCUGCUGAAUCCAUGGGCAGGCAAGAAACAACUUGGGGAACUAAAAUAUCUUAGUAGCCAGAGAAAAAUAAAGCAAAGCAAUUCCCGUAGUAGCGGCGAGUAAAAUGGGAGCAGCCUAAACCAUGAAAAUAGGGUUAUGGGGGAGCAAUACAACCGUCGUGCUGCUAGGCGAAGCAACCUGAAUACUGCACCCUAGAUGGAGAAAGUCCAGUAGCCGAAAGCAUUCCUAGCUUACGCUCUGACCCGAGUAGCAUGGGGCACGUGAAAUCCCGUGUGAAUCAGCAAGGACCACUUUGCAAGGCUAAAUACUCCUGGGUGACAAUAGCGAAGUAGUACCGUAAGGGAAGGGUGAAAAUAAACCCUAUCGGGAAGUGAAGUAGAACAUGAAACUGUAAGCUCCCAAGCAGUGGGAGAAUCCAGGGCUCUGACCGCGUGCCUGUUGAAGAAUGAUCCGGCGAAUCAUAGGCAGUGGCUUAGUUAAGGGAACCCACCAAAGCCGUAGAGAAAUCGAGUCUUCAUAAGGAAAUUGUCACUGUUUAUGGACCCAAACCUGGGUGAUCUAUCUAUGACCAGGAUGAAGCUUGGAUGAAACUAAGUGGAGGUCCGAACCGACUGAUGUUGAAGAAUCAGCAGAUGAGUUAUGGUUAAGGGUAAAAUUCCACUCGAACCCAGAGCUAGCUGGUUCUCCUUGAAAUGCAUUGAGGCACAAUAGUUGACUGGACAUCUAGGGGUAAAGCACUAUUUCAGUGUAGGCCGCGAGAGCGGUACCAAAUUAAGGCAAAAUCUAAAUACUAGGUAUGGCCUAAAAAUUAAAAAAGAGGGGUCAAACUCGGAUAGUGAGACGAUGAGGGAUAAGCUUCAUCGUCGAGAUGGAAACAACCUAGAUCACCAGUUAAGGCCCCUAAAUGGACACUCAGUGAUAAAGGAGGUAGAGGUGCAGAGACAGUCAAGAGGUUUGCCUAGAAGCAGCCACCCUUGAAAGAGUGCGUAAUAGCUCACUGACCGAGCACUUUUGUGCCAAAAAUGAAUGGGGCUAAGCGAUAUGCCAAAGCUGUGGGGUGUAAAAAUACAUCGGUAGGGGAGUAUUCCACCUUAGAGAGAAGCCUCUGCGCGAGCGGUGGUGGACGAAGCGGAAGCAAUAAUAUCAACUUGAGUAAUACAAACAUUAGUGAGAAUCUAAUGCCCCAAAAACCUAAGGGUUCCUCCUCAAGGUUCAUCCACGGAGGGUGAGUCAGGGCCUAAGAUCAGGCCGAAAGGCGUAGUCGAUGGACAACAGGUGAAUAUUCCUGUACUACCCCUUGUUGGUCCUGAGGGACGAAGAAGGCUAGGUUAGCCAAAAGAUGGUUAUCGGUUCAAGAAUAUAAGGUAUCCCUGCCCUUUUUUUAGGGUAAGAAGAGGUAGAGAAAAUGACUCGAGACAAUGUUCAAAUACCAGGCUCUACGGCACUGAAGUAACCCAUGCCAAACUCCUAGGAAAAGCUCGAAUGACUUUGAGCAAGAGGGUACCUGUACCCGAAACCGACACAGGUGGGUAGGUAGAGAAUACCUAAGGGCCCAAGACAACUCUUUCUAAGGAUCUUGGCAAAAUAGCCCCAUAACUUCGGGAGAAGGAGUGCCUCUUUACAUCACAAAGGGGGUCACAGUGACCAUGCUCGGGCGACUGUUUACCAAAAACACAGGUCUCCGUAAAGUCGUAAGACCAUGUAUGGGGGCUGAUGCUUGCCCAAUGUCGAAAGGUCAAGAAAGUUGGUGACCUGAUGAUAGGGGAGCCGGCGAACGAAGCCCCGGUGAACGGCAGCCAUAACUAUAAUGGUCCUAAGGUAGCGAAAUUCCUUAUCAUGUAAGUUCCGACCCGUACGAAAGGCGUAAUGAUUUGGGUACUGUCUCGAAGAGAGGCUCAAUGAAAUAGACAUGUAUGUGAAGAUACGGACUACCUACACCUAGACAGAAAGACCCUAUAAAGCUUCACUGUUCCCUAGGAGUGGCUUUGGGCCUUUCCUACGCAACUUAGGUGAAAGAAGAAGAAUGCCUCCUUUAGGGGGCCCGAGCCAUCAGCGAGAUACCACUCUGGAAGAGCUAGAAUUUUAACCUUGUGUCAGGACCUACGGGCUAAGGGACAUUCUCAGGUAGACAGUUUCUAUGGGGCGUAGGCCUCCCAAAAGGUAACGAAGGCAUGCAAAGAUUUCCUCGGGCCAGACGGAGAUUGGCCCUUGAGUGCAAAGGCAGAAGGGAGCUUGACUGCAAGACGCACCCGUCAAGCAGAGACGAAAGUCAUCCUUAGUAAUCUGACGAUGCCGAGUGGAAGGGCCGUCGAUCAACGGAUAAAAGUUACUCUAUGGAUAACAGGUUGAUCUUUCUCAAGAGCUCACAUCGACGGGAAGUUUUGGCACCUCGAUGUCGUCUCUUCGCCACCUGGUGCUGUAGUAUAUUCCAAGGGUUGGGUUGUUCGCCCACUAAAGUGGUACGUGAGCUGGGUUCAGAACAUCGUGAGUAAUUUUGGUCUAUAUCCAGUAUGGGCGUUAGAGAAUAGAGAGGAACUUUACCUAGUACGAGAGGAUCGAGAAGGACACACUUCUGGUGUACCAGUUAUCAUGCCCACAGUAAACGCUGGGUAGCCAAGUGCAGAGGGGAUAACUGCUGAAAGCGUCUAAGUAGUAAGCCCACCCCAAGAUAAGUGCUCUCCUAUUCCAACUUCCCCAGAGCUUCCGGUAGCACAGCCGAGACAGUGAUGAGUUCUCUGCCCCUGCGGGGAUGAAGUGACAGAAGUUUUUUUUAGGCCU
rfam:Capsicum annuum cultivar Zunla-1 chromosome 3, whole genome shotgun sequence